UACGUAGGGGGCAAGCGUUGUCCGGAUUUAUUGGGCGUAAAGAGCGUGUAGGCGGCCAGAUAGGUCAGCUGUGAAAACUCGAGGCUCAACCUCGAGAUGUCGGCUGAAACCAUCUGGCUAGAGUCCGGAAGAGGAGAAUGGAAUUCCCGGUGUAGCGGUGAAAUGCGCAGAUAUCGGGAAGAACACCCGUGGCGAAGGCGGCUUGCCAGAACGCACUCGACGGUGAGGGAUGAAAGCUGGGGGAGCAAACCGG
rnacentral:rRNA from 1 species